CUGGCUCAGAGCGAACGCUGGCGGCAGGCCUAACACAUGCAAGUCGAACGGACCCUUCGGGGUUAGUGGCGGACGGGUGAGUAACACGUGGGAACGUGCCUUUAGGUUCGGAAUAGCUCCUGGAAACGGGUGGUAAUGCCGAAUGUGCCCUUCGGGGGAAAGAUUUAUCGCCUUUAGAGCGGCCCGCGUCUGAUUAGCUUGUUGGUGAGGUAAUGGCUCACCAAGGCUACGAUCAGUAGCUGGUCUGAGAGGAUGACCAGCCACAUUGGGACUGAGACACGGCCCAAACUCCUACGGGAGGCAGCAGUGGGGAAUCUUGCGCAAUGGGCGAAAGCCUGACGCAGCCAUGCCGCGUGUAUGAUGAAGGUCUUAGGAUUGUAAAAUACUUUCACCGGUGAAGAUAAUGACUGUAGCCGGAGAAGAAGCCCCGGCUAACUUCGUGCCAGCAGCCGCGGUAAUACGAAGGGGGCUAGCGUUGCUCGGAAUUACUGGGCGUAAAGGGAGCGUAGGCGGACAUUUAAGUCAGAGGUGAAAUCCCG
rnacentral:rRNA from 1 species